rnacentral:rRNA from 1 species
AGAGUUUGAUCCUGGCUCAGGACGAACGCUGGCGGCGUGCCUAAUACAUGCAAGUCGAGCGAGCUUGCCUAGAUGAUUUUAGUGCUUGCACUAAAUGAAACUAGAUACAAGCGAGCGGCGGACGGGUGAGUAACACGUGGGUAACCUGCCCAAGAGACUGGGAUAACACCUGGAAACAGAUGCUAAUACCGGAUAACAACACUAGACGCAUGUCUAGAGUUUGAAAGAUGGUUAUGCUAUCACUCUUGGAUGGACCUGCGGUGCAUUAGCUAGUUGGUAAGGUAACGGCUUACCAAGGCAAUGAUGCAUAGCCGAGUUGAGAGACUGAUCGGCCACAUUGGGACUGAGACACGGCCCAAACUCCUACGGGAGGCAGCAGUAGGGAAUCUUCCACAAUGGACGAAAGUYUGAUGGAGCAACGCCGCGUGAGUGAAGAAGGGUUUCGGCUCGUAAAGCUCUGUUGGUAGUGAAGAAAGAUAGAGGUAGUAACUGGCCUUUAUUUGACGGUAAUUACUUAGAAAGUCACGGCUAACUACGUGCCAGCAGCCGCGGUAAUACGUAGGUGGCAAGCGUUGUCCGGAUUUAUUGGGCGUAAAGCGAGUGCAGGCGGUUCAAUAAGUCUGAUGUGAAAGCCUUCGGCUCAACCGGAGAAUUGCAUCAGAAACUGUUGAACUUGAGUGCAGAAGAGGAGAGUGGAACUCCAUGUGUAGCGGUGGAAUGCGUAGAUAUAUGGAAGAACACCAGUGGCGAAGGCGGCUCUCUGGUCUGCAACUGACGCUGAGGCUCGAAAGCAUGGGUAGCGAACAGGAUUAGAUACCCUGGUAGUCCAUGCCGUAAACGAUGAGUGCUAAGUGUUGGGAGGUUUCCGCCUCUCAGUGCUGCAGCUCACGCAUUAAGCACUCCG